rnacentral:lncRNA from 1 species
UGCCAACACCCCAGGUGUCCUUGGGGGUGUGCCCUAGGAUCAGGGGGACUGGGGAAGGAUGAUAGAGGUCGACCUUUCAAGGCUGACCAUCUCUCCAGAAGCUGGCUGAGGCACACAGAGAGGAUGUUCUAGUCUUUGGGGACUGGAGAUCAAGAGAUAGAUGGAGAAGGUACUUCUGGUUGAAUUUGAAAGGUGGAGAUCCUAGAGUAUAUUUUAGACUUUUCUAGAACCUCAUAGGGGAGAAAAAAACUAUUUCUCCUCCAAGGAUUUUUUUUCCCCUAGUUUGUCAGGUCUUUUUGGUUCAUAGGAAGAAAAUUUGGGUGUAUAAAAACUAAGAAUUUCCACUGGAAACGAAGUGCAAUUUGAUUGACUUGAUUCACCUUUCCUUUCAGAUUUGAGAUCGCUUUGAGCUGACAGGGCACUUACACAUGGACACCUGGAAUACUUUUCAGAUAACGGGGUCCUUUCAGGCUUGUGGUCAGUGUGAGGUUAGCAGUUGGUCUGCUUAUUCCCAGGCGCUCGCCCUGUGAGUUGAGAGUGUCUUGUGCCAGAGUAAGGGGGUGAAGACAAACAGGACUUGAUGUCUUUGUUUUGCUUUUAGGUGAAAGAGCUUCAGCUCACACCAGCAGAGGCACUAUGGGUGGCUGAGGCACACAGAGAGGAUGUUCUAGUCUUUGGGGGCCGGAGAUCAAGGGAUAGAUGGAGAAGGUACUUUUGGUUGAAUUUGAAAGGUGGAGUGAAGCCCUCAGUGUGGUCCAGGCCACCCUAAGAAGCAUUUGGUAGAACUAAUGCCUCUUUUUUUGGCACCCUGGGGUGUUGGACUCCCUGACAGGGACUUUCCCUCACUGCUGGGGACAGCAGGUGUCAGAUGCCAAUAUUCAACUAGCCACUUAGUACUUUGUAAAUGGAUUUGGGAUGUUCAGUCUCCUCCUUUUCCCUGGCCCCGCAACAUCAGACUCUUGUGUUUCUCUGUGCUUCGGAUUCAUUUGCUUUAAGGAUACUCUGGAGAUGGCAUUUCUGAGAAGGCUGGCUCAGGGUUGGUUGGCCAGGCUCUUGUUCUGGGAUCAAUUGUAGGGACACAGACAGGCUGUGUGUACUGGUAGGUGCUUCCCCAGAACAGCCCUGAGCUCCCUGGACUAGUACAAGAGGGUCAGGCAUCCCAGCGAGUGACCCGAGACCUUCAUCUGUCAACCCAUCUCUGUCCUGUGCAUGAACACGUAGUUCUCUUGAGGGAGGGUCAGGGCUUGAAAAAUGAGGACAUUUUCUCUUCUUUUCUUCCUACCCACCCUGUAAUUGCCUACCUGCUUUGGGCCCCCUUUCAGAGGAAGGCAGGCCUGUUCGCAAGAGUGAAGAAGCACUCACAGUAAAGCAGCAGGGGGAGAGGAAAAAGAGACUCCUCAGUCUCUUUUUCCAAAACAGGCUGUCAAGUAGUCCUGGGCCAUUGGCCUUCCAGGCUUAAAUGGGCCAUAUCAAGGCUGUCGGGGAUGCCAAGUGGCUCACCUGCUGAGACGGAAAAGUACUCCUUUAGGGAGCUCCAGUCAGGGGGCUUGUUUGCAACUCUUGACCCCGUGGUCCCUUUCUUUGAUGAAGAAGUGGCUCCACCUGUUCUUGUCACCGUGGCUUGUACCUCCAGUGCAGCAGUCCCUAGAACCAGGCCAGCUUGCUGGAGUGAUGAGUUCCCAUGAGCUCUUGAGUCUAUUUUGAAUGGUCCUACCAAUUAAUGUUGCCCUGUAAGGGGUUCAAAGGAAUAAUGAGGGCCUCUUAUGUAAGGUCUGAUUCAGAGGAAGCAACUGGCUGGUUGGCAGAAAGACUCACCCCCAGCUUCCUCUCCUGCAUAAGGCUCCUACUUUCCUACCUAGAAGACAGACAUUUAUUUGAGCUAGAGGAAAGGAAAGUUCCAGAACCCAUUUCUUCACCUUCCAUUGUAUUUGACCCAUGUGUCUAGGUCAUCCAAUUCUACUGACUUUAUAUCUGUAGGAGCCAGAAGGACUCCAUCCCUGACCAGGAAGUGUAACCGGGUGAAAGAUGGAACCCAGUUGAAAUACUCUCUGAUUCUGGAGCAUUAAAACCUGGGUGCCAACACACUGGACAGUCUUUUCUCUGGGUAGUCACCUCUUGGUGACAUGUGAAGCUAUAUGCAUUGUUCAUUCAGGGAGUCCCCCUCCUGGCCUGGGAGGGGGACUGGAGGCAGUGGGAAUUUCCUUCCUUCACAGCUGUCAAGCCUAAUUGUAGAUCUGAUUUUAAGUCAUUUAAAUUACACCCAGUGCUUAUAAAAACUCACCUCCAAAUUAUGACUUCCGUUUCUUGCAGAAUCAAUCAGUUCCAUUAAAGGGAACCUCUACUCUGGUCUUGGAAGCCAGACGGCAGUCACAUAAUCAUUUUUCAACUAUGUGUGUUGUCAUAUAUUUCAGGGCAAAUCUGCCCCUACUGUGGUGUUUUGUGAGCCUCUGUUUUCAUGGGAUUCUGUUCUGUUUUCUAUACCAUCAUAUACUAUCAUCUGAUGAGUGUAUUUAAUAUUCAAAGCCCACCAAGUAAAAGCGUGUUCAGAAGUGGGCUGAAAAAGGCCAGCAUCCCUCUAUUUCAUGAGAACUUUUUAAUGCAGUGGAAGGAAUGCCUGUUUUCUUCUUCUGGAACUCUGCUUUUAUACUUCUGACAUUUAUAAGAGUAACCUUGCUUCUGUUCUUUUGCCUCUUAAAUCUCUUCUUUCCUCCUGUUUCAGUUUGGAAACGGAGCUGGAGCCUUGGGCAGAUAGGAUCCCAAGAGAGGGUGGUGGCUUAGCAACGUCUGGUUGAGUGGCAGCAGCUGUCUUCUGUCCACUGUCCCUGCUGGGGGGUGAAGGGGGUCUGUGUGUGCUGGACACUCGCUGGUCCCACUGGUGGGUCCCAAGGUACUGGCGCCACCUGCUGCAGGUCCAGGGCAUUGCUCUUGUGUAAAUUGCAGAAGGAAACCUAGGGAGACCUUGCUCUUCGUGGUCAGAGAUCCUUAGCCCUCCUGCCUUUCUGCAUCUGCUUCAGUGGGGGUCUAUGGGACUCAUCCCUUUAAAGACCUAAGUCAGACGUGUCCCCACUAUCGGGAGGGCUUUGGGCAGGCCUCUGGAGGCGGCCCCAUUCCUGAAGUUAGGUUUGCUUUAUUUGGAGUCUCUACUUGCAGACUUUGACUUCUGGAAUUUUCAAUGGCAUGAAGUAGUGGGGUACAGUGGCUUGUUGUGGUCUGUGCUUAUGUUUAUAUGUUUGGGGGUGCUUGUGUGUGCAUGUGUGUUUGUGUGUGUGUGUGUGUGUGAUGCACCAGGAGGUGGGAAUGGAUGUGUGGACUGAAGAGGGGCCAGGACACAUGCUCUUCCACCCUUUUUCUAGGCGCGUUGACAACCAGCUCAGAAUCUGUGGGCCCAGCCCGCUCAUUCCCCAUGAUGAAGAACUUCAAGAUGGCGCCAGCAGAGCAUUAGGCUCUCUGCGUGCAGGGCCCUUGGUGUCUCCGGCUGCUCACUAUGAUACCAGCGCUAGCCAUGCUGUAUUUUCAGUUGGUUCUUAAGCAGGGGACUUCAUCUUGUGUCUUUUUUCUGUGGAAGGUCCCCCUGGCAGGCUUCAUAGAGCUGGGUUGAUGUAUUCGUCAUCAUAUCUGCGUCUAGUUUCUAAAAGCACAAAUGGCCUGGACUAAUUUGGAGAUAGAAAACCCAAGCCCCAAAGCAUCCCAGAGCCAGGGAGGGAGUGUCACUCAGGGUGACAGGAGCUGGUCUGUGGUCUCCCAGUCCAGGGCAUGCCAUCAGAUGCCAAGAGGCCUUUGAGCUUCUACCAUCAAACUCACUACUUUGAAAUGAGACUCUUCCUCUGGGGGUUAGUCACCCACCAGGGCAUUUCUUCCAAUUCCUGGUGGACAGUGAGGCUUUCCCAAGCCUCGCUUAUCCUUUCUCACUUAUCCUUUCUGUUUUCAAGGAUAAGUGAGAAAGGUCCUAGAGGACUCAGUGACCCUUCCUCAGUGGCUGGACACUUGUUCUAAUGGGAGCCUCAGCUGAGGGCUUCUGAGAGGCAGCAGCCUCCCAGCUAGAUCCCCUGCAUAGGAUUCCCUGUGGAGAGGUGAUCUGACUUUUAGGUAGGUUGGUGCUUGCAGAGAGGAGAGGCCCUGUUGUGUGAGUAGCCUGGAGACCUAGAAGACCAUGGUCCCAGGGAGGCCUGAUGACCAUGGAGCUGGUCUUCCUGGCUGGUAUGUGGAUUUCCUUCACAAGCUUUUGCUUUCACUGGGCCGGAUGCUCCAACUUCUGCUCUUCUUGCUUUUUGCAAAUGGAGUCCCAUUUCUACCCACGUAGAGCAAUAAUUCUUAUUGUGUCAAACAAAUUGCAAACCUAGCUCAUGUGGAGUAAGUCACCUUGAAUGAAAUAACACACUACAGUUUUGUUUCCACAUUUCAUACAGUCUUCCAAACUACGGAAGGUCCAGAAAGGUUCUCUAGAGGCAUUGAAUUAAUAUGGUGUCAGCGUCAAUUUUAACGAAUGAAUAUUUUGAGAUAUAUUUUAUAAUCAACAUCUUUAAUAUGUUAUCUGCUAAAUAGUCACUGUGUCAGAAAGUAGAUAUUUUAGAAAGAUCUUAACGAUGUUUAGUUUUAGAUGUGCAUUUAAAGCGUAUAUUUCCAGUAACCCAAGUAUUAGUCUCAGACUUUGUUGGCUGUGGUACCCCCAGCUGGAGUCUGUGCACCCCCUGCCCCUCAUAGCUCUGCAUAUGAGGAACUGACUACCAUUUCACCCCUGUGCACUGCCUUAGCUCCAACAGCUUUGUACCCUCACAAACAUAGGUGGCACACAUAUGUGUAAAUACAUGUAUACAAAUGAGAGACCACUACACAAUGUCCUAUGUAUGAUAAUCAGCUCAUGGUUUCUGGUUUUCUGCAUUUUGUGCUGUUUAUAGCUAAGAAAAAAAAAUGCAGAAUUCUCCAUAAUGUGAAAAAGGUCAUGCUCUUUAGAAGGUUAGUUGUGAACUCUCUGCUGUACGUUUAUGGGAAUGACCGUGACUAAAUGUAUAUACUGUGUGUAAGACUCUGCUGUUACAUGUUGCAUAAACUAACACAGAUUGUGUCAUCUAAAAUAUUCAACCUGUUAUUGUAAAAUGUGAUUUGUCAUUGAGAGAUUAUUUUUCUGUAUGUAUAUGAGAGUAUUUUAGGAAUCUAAUUUAAGUGCAUAAAACUAUAGGAAAAAAGUAAAACUAUUCCAGGAGUAGAAAAUGCUUCAUCAGAUUACUUGGGUUCAACCCAACUAAAUUUCUUAUAUUUAAAAAAAAUCCAAGUUGUAUAUGUUUAGGAAUUCAAAGGAGUGGGAUUUUUCCUGCAGAGAAUGUGAUGAAUUUCAAUGAAAUUGGGUGUGAUAGAAUGAAGUGUCCUGUAACCAUGACCUUGGAUGAGGUCGGUGUCCAUGUGGCAUUAGAAUGAAUUCAUACAGACGGUGUACUCUGGAGGGUGGGUAUGUCUUCCACCAGGUCUCAUGCCACAGAAGCUUCCUUGAGUUCUAGUGAAGGUCAGGAAUCUGGGGUGACCCAGCCAUCCCCUCAGAGAGGUCAGGAGCAUUCGGGGAGGCCACUUCUUGGCUUUCUGGUCACCCUUCCCACUUCUCUCUCUGGGUGGAUUCAGACACCUCUUUAGUGUUUGCAUUUUCCUUGAGAUGUCCUGGUGCGGCCUCACCCUCUCUAGCCUGCCCCAUGGGUGGGAGGUGAAGUUGAGGGCUCUGGGCUGAGCUGUUUGUGGACAGGCAGUGUCCUUGAUGAGGCCUUGGGGGCAAGAGGCCUUCCUCUCCUUCCCUACACCUUUCCCAGAAAAGUACCAAGAAUCCACGCUGCUUCUGGGGCACAGGUCUGUGCUUAUUUACAUGACCACCAGAAACGUCCUGUGCAGGUGACACAGGCAGGGUUCGUCUAAACCUGAAGAGAAGCAUGCAAAAGUGGUUUCACGAGGUGGUGGCCCCAGAAAUGCUUCCUUGAUGGGUUUUUGGUGACUGGGGCAUUGAGUUGUCAUCACUGUGUGUGGAAAGCUCGGGGCCCCUGGAUUGAAAGGAUAAAGGUAUGCGCCUUAGGUUUUUAGCAUUUCUUUCAAUUAGGUGUGUGCCUCUUAAUGUUGCUAAGCAACCAUCAGAGUCUCCUGUUGGUGGCCUGACGUGGAACAUGUGAGUCUAAGCGGACUUUAGGGUUGUGGAAACCUGGGAUUUCGGAAACCUAACUGGAAUCUGUUGAGGCAUAUGAAUCACCUACAAAUCACCUUAAGAAACUGUCCAUGUGACUGUAACCGCCUUUGAUCCCAAAGGUGGAGCUGUUUAGCGAUCUCUUUGUGAGUGCAGCCCAGGAAGGCCAUGUCAGGCCAGGAUGCAGAAGGCAAGGUCUGACCCCCUUGCCCAGAAAUGGCCCUGGUGCUCCUCCCCCAGCACGAAGCCCUCUUGGCUGGGGCGCCAGUAGUAUGGGGAGAGUCAGCCAGUCAGCUGCUACCUGGACCUGGUUGAUCUAAAAAAGAGUCUGCAGACCAGAAAAGCCAGAACGUGGGCCCUUCCCAGUGGGGCUGCAGGAGCCCUCAGUUAGCCUUUGCCUGUGCAGAAGAAUGUAAUCGAGCGUAACAGGAGUGCUGUGUCCCACUGACUAGUGGCCACAGUGCCAGUGGCGUGUUGCUCCCCUCAUGCCCUGCCCAGGGGUAGGGCUAGGCCACCCCCUUGGAGGAUGUCCUGUUGAUUGUAAUAUACUUCUGUUGCCAAAUAAUGGUACUAUUUAAUUUUCUGUAAAAGGGAGACUAUAUUGUCUGUUAUGUAAUGUUUGUGGAGUUCUAAAAACUACUAGACACUACUGUAAAUUGUAGACUUACGUAUUUGUCUAAGGUUUGAUAAAGCAGGGCCAAAACAUUAGGUUUCUCUUUUUGUUCAUUUAAAAGAAAUUGGGGUUGUUUUGCUGUUUGAGUGUUUCUUUGGCACCUUAUUUUGUGUGAAAUGUUAAAUUUUACCAAUUCAGAUUAUGGUAACUGAGGGGUUUUUUGUUAUUGUUUUGUUUUUGUUUUUUCUUUAAACCAGUAACAACAUCAAUACAAAUUACUAUUCCCAUGCAUCUUGAACCUAGAAAGAACAAUCUCUUCAAAACAAUUCUUUGGUCAUUUUGACCCUUAUGGUUUAAAUUCACAUAGUUCAUGAAUAAAAUGAGAAAAGCAACCUUGCCAC